rnacentral:rRNA from 1 species
GUAGCAAAAUAAAUUGUCUUUUAAUUGAAGACGGGUAUGAACGGUUAAACAAAUAAUUUUUAUUUUUUAUUAAAUUUAUUAAUUUCUAAUUUAAGUUAAAAUACUUAAAUAGUUAAAGGGGACGAUAAGACCCUAGAAUCUUUAUUUAUAAGUUUUUAAAAAUAAUAUAUGUAAUAAAUAAAUUAAUUAUGAGUUUGGUUGGGGCAAUUAUUUUAUUAAAAUUAAAAUUUAAUAUACUAAAUUUAAAGGAAAUAAGAUCCUUUAAAUAAGGAUAAUUAGUUUUAGUUACUCUAGGGAUAACAGCGUAAUAUUUUCAGAAAGGUCAUAUUAAUGGAUAUGAUUGCGACCUCGAUGUUGAAUUAAAAAAUCUUUACAAGGUAUAAGGUGUAUAAGAAGGUUUGUUCAACCUUUAAAAUUUU